UACGUAGGGGGCUAGCGUUGUCCGGAAUCAUUGGGCGUAAAGAGCGCGUAGGCGGCCAGAUAAGUCCGGUGUGAAAGUCAAAGGCUCAACCUUUGAAUGCCGCUGGAAACUGUCUGGCUAGAGUCCGGGAGGGGCGAGUGGAAUUCCUGGUGUAGCGGUGAAAUGCGCAGAUAUCAGGAAGAACACCCGUGGCGAAGGCGGUUCUCUGGGACGGUACUGACGCUGAGACGCGAAAGCGUGGGGAGCGAACAGG
rnacentral:rRNA from 1 species